rnacentral:rRNA from 1 species
UACGUAGGGUGCGAGCGUUAAUCGGAAUUACUGGGCGUAAAGCGUGCGCAGGUGGUUCGCUAAGACAGAUGUGAAAGCCCCGGGCUCAACCUGGGAACUGCGUUUGUGACUGGCGGGCUAGAGUGCGGAAGAGGGAGGUGGAAUUCCACGUGUAGCAGUGAAAUGCGUAGAGAUGUGGAGGAACACCGAUGGCGAAGGCAGCCUCCUGGUCUAGCACUGACGCUCAUGCACGAAAGCGUGGGGAGCGAACAGG